rnacentral:rRNA from 1 species
UACGUAGGGACCGAGCGUUGUCCGGAAUCAUUGGGCGUAAAGAGCGUGUAGGCGGCCACUUAAGUCCUGCGUGAAAUCUUGCGGCUCAACCGCAAGCGGUCGUGGGAAACUGGGUGGCUAGAGUGCGGGAGAGGAGAGUGGAAUUCCUGGUGUAGCGGUGGAAUGCGCAGAUAUCAGGAAGAACACCGGUGGCGAAGGCGGUUCUCUGGGCCUGUACUGACGCUGAGGAGCGAAAGCGUGGGGAGCGAACAGG